AUUGAACGCUGGCGGCAGGCCUAACACAUGCAAGUCGAGCGGAUGAAGGGAGCUUGCUCCUGGAUUCAGCGGCGGACGGGUGAGUAAUGCCUAGGAAUCUGCCUGGUAGUGGGGGAUAACGUCCGGAAACGGGCGCUAAUACCGCAUACGUCCUGAGGGAGAAAGUGGGGGAUCUUCGGACCUCACGCUAUCAGAUGAGCCUAGGUCGGAUUAGCUAGUUGGUGGGGUAAAGGCCUACCAAGGCGACGAUCCGUAACUGGUCUGAGAGGAUGAUCAGUCACACUGGAACUGAGACACGGUCCAGACUCCUACGGGAGGCAGCAGUGGGGAAUAUUGGACAGUGGGCGGGAGCCUGAUCCAGCCAUGCCGCGUGUGUGAAGAAGGUCUUCGGAUUGUAAAGCACGUUAAGUUGGGGGGAAGGGCAGUAAGUUAAUACCUUGCUGUUUUGACGUUACCAACAGAAUAAGCACCGGCUAACUUCGUG
rnacentral:rRNA from 1 species